UCAUCCCACGAAUCCCUAUAGGUCUCCAAGUUGACAUCGGCGUUUCUUAAGGCCGACAGGCAUAGCUCUUUUCUCCAUUCUUCUAAACGUGGGAAUCCUACAUAUUCUCCAUAUUUGUCACAGUACUGCAAGAUGAGGUAUGCCUAUGAAACAUAGAGAUGGAGCAAGGGAGGGGGGGAAAGUGUGCUCAUACAGAGGACCCACCCUGUCAUCAUCCACAACUACCAUUCCUUUGGUGUUAAGAAAAGGGAACGCAUAGGAGUACCUACGCAAACAAUGGAAACCUCUCAAUUUAUGAGGAUUCACAACUAAUUAACUUUUAAAAGGAAACAUCAGGACAUGUUUAGACACAGGGCCCCACAAUGAGAUCUCUAAUGUGAAGGUUACAAUCAUCGUCCAAUCAAAACUCCUUUGACCUGUUGUUGGUAACAAUUAAAAUCUAAAACAGCUAUAUGUUCGCAGAUAAGUGUUCUAAUCAACAUUUUCCGUACUUAAUUUCUACUGAGAUGAAUGUUACCCGGUGCAGUACAAAACACUGUCGGCAAUAAUGCUGGAACCGUCCACGAAAAGAACUCGUCCGUCUUCUUGAAGGCUGUCUAUCUGCACAUUGUAAUAACGGUAGUGAAUCAGGUUUUGCUUUCUACUAUUCCCCUUAAAAUUCAAACCCAGUGGAUAAGAAGUGAUGAUACUUGUGGAUGAAGGUGCAAAUUCUUGUGUUUGCAUAUGAUUUUAGAUAGACCCUCGGAGAUAUUGAGGGAUCUGGAGCUUAGAUGCACUUCCUUUGCUACCUCCACAAGCUCUAUUGAGAUAUCUUGUCCGCUUAAUGAAUUUCCAACCACUACCACAGUCUGUUGGAUUAAGACUCACCUCAGUUGCAGUUUUAAAAGAGCUUGUUUAGUUUAAACAAAAAUCUCUCGCAGUUAUAGGGAUUAUUUGAAUAUUUUACCUCAUUUCUGAAUGGCUCUGGUGAUCUGUAAAUGUGACUGUGCAUUUGUUUCCUUUUCCAUGACUCCAUUCCUAUGAAACAGGAAACAGAGAGAGGGCAAAACAAAAAGAUAAGUUAUAUUUGAGACCUUCGAAUGUAUAGCUAUGCACGAUUCUGAGUCUGACAUAUGCUUUUCCUCUUAAGAUACAUAAACUGAAGUUGAGAUUUACACCUACCUUGAAUGGAGGGCAACCUUGGUUGAGAGUAGUGGCCAGUGGCGACAACCACUGCAUCGAACACCUCUUCCACCUCUUUACCAGUCUUCUUCUCUUUGCUUCUAACAGCCCAUUUCAAAUCAUCAUGACAGACACCAUAAUCCAACAUCCCCACAUACUCCACCCUUGUAUUGAACCUGAUCAUCUCUCUGAGCCUAAACGAAUCACAAAAAUCCUUGAGGUACAGAAGGAGCUCUGUGUGACUAGGAAACCUCCUCAUGUCUCCACCUUUCCUGACAGAAAAUGGGAAAUCAGUGAAUCCCAUGAUCUCUCUUGGAGAUGUGAGCCUCAAAGACUCAUAAAUGCUGCUAUGAACCUUUAGGAAAAGGUCCCUUCCUAAAGGGUCCUCCCCUUCAACAUCGGGAUCAUAUAGCCAUUGACCCCCAACAUCAUGAUUCUGCUCUAACACAACCACCUUAUGACCUUCUUUUCUCAACUCCCUCGCUGCCACUAGCCCAGAUGGCCCUGCUCCAAUAACACAGACAUUCUUGGAUAGGUUUGUCUCAGAAACCAUGGCUGUUGUAUCAGGGUUCCUGGAUAGUUUUGCAGGAAGGAAAGAACUACUUGGAGGUAUAGCCUAUUUAGGUUAUAGGUGAGAUUGCAAAUUGAUUUAUAGGUGGAGAAACGUGCUGGGGUAGUGAGGGGUUUUUAAUGGUUGAACAAGGUUUCACGUAGGCAAAGGGAGACCAUAAUUUGAGGGACAGUCAUGGUUUGUUGGCUAGGAGACACACGUGAUCAUGGGAAAUCAAUGCUUCCAGAUUUGUCCACUUCAAAAGUUCCAAGUUAGGACUUCAACAGUGUUACUUGGACUCUUUUAUUCUUUACGUUGAAUUCUUCAUAUCAUCGCUUUACCACAUGAUUAUGAUUAACUCGCACUUGUUACUGCAUCAAAAGUGAUUGUUGAUGCUUGGAUCUCCAUGCUAUUCUCUUUAACUAACUAAUAAAAAAUAAGUAAAUUGAUUAACUCAAUUACCCAUCCUCCUGCCCUUUCAAUAAAAUAAAUGAGGUUUGCCAUUUGUUCACUUCAUGAGAUUUUACCAGUGAUUUCAAAUGCAUAAUUAUCAUUAGCCUAAUCUUACAUAUUAAGUAUACACCGAGAGAAUCAUUUCCAUUAAUAAGAAACAUUGGAACUCAUAAUCAUCAUUAACAUCUACUGCUUCUUUCCUCUUUACGUUUGUCUAGACACCGAUUCUUGCCUGCAUGCAUGUCUGGUACCCAUGUGAUAAUGAUCUUCCUUUCACACAGUCCAAACCAUCUAGGGCAGCGGAUUUUUCAUACGCCAGACCAGACCACCCUUCAGUUCAUGCUCCAUUGAUAUGGAAUAAGUCAAUUUAAAAUAGUAGAUGUGGCCAUGCAAUGAUCUUAGAAGAAGAUACUUAUCUUUGCAAAUACUCAAACCCGGAGAAAACAAAAGCUUUGUAAGGGCGGUUACAUAGGGACACUAGCUUGUCGGCUAGCAGAAUUUAGGGAAGAAUAGGUCAAUGUUUUUAAAUUUUUCUGGGGCAGAUCACUGAACCAGUCUAUGCGCUACAUACAUGGCUUGGAACCCCACAAUCAGAAUAGGCAUGCCUCACCUUCAAGCCAAGGGAACAGAAAUAAUCAUGGAAUAAUGUCCAUCUUGAUCAUUUUGAUGCAAUUUUUCUUGCUAUAUUUUGACCUUGUAUUGUUGACAAAGUGAGCCUCCUUUUCUCUGUCUACUUUAUUUUCUCAGCUAUAAUAUAUUCUUGUUUGUUUUUA